AUACUUACCUGGCAGGGGAGAUACCAUGAUCAUGAAGGUGGUUCACCAGGCGAGGCUCAGCCAUUGCACGCCCGGUUGUGCUGACCCGUCUGCGAAUUCCCCAAAUGUGGGGAAUCUCAUUAUAAUUUGUGGUAGUGGGGGACUGCGUCGCUCUCCCUGA